rnacentral:rRNA from 1 species
UUGACCUCGGAUCAGGUAGGACUACCCGCUGAACUUAAGCAUAUCAAUAAGCGGAGGAAAAGAAACCAACAGGGAUUGCCCCAGUAACGGCGAGUGAAGCGGCAACAGCUCAGAUUUGGAAUCUGGCCCCCAGGGCCCGAGUUGUAAUCUGGAGAGGAUGCUUCUGGCGCGGCGCCUUCCGAGUUCCCUGGAACGGGACGCCGGAGAGGGUGAGAGCCCCGUACGGUUGGACGCCUAGCCUUUGUGAAGCUCCUUCGACGAGUCGAGUAGUUUGGGAAUGCUGCUCAAAAUGGGAGGUAAAUUUCUUCUAAAGCUAAAUACCGGCCAGAGACCGAUAGCGCACAAGUAGAGUGAUCGAAAGAUGAAAAGCACUUUGAAAAGAGGGUCAAACAGUACGUGAAAUUGUUGAAAGGGAAGCGCCCGUGGCCAGACUUGUGCCCCGCGGACCACCCGGCGCCCUCAGCGCCGGUGCACUCCGCGGGGCGCAGGCCAGCAUCGGUUUUCCUAGGGGGAUAAAGGCGGCGGGAACGUGGCUCCCUCGGGAGUGU